rnacentral:misc_RNA from 1 species
GAUGAAGAACGUAGCGAAAUGCGAUAAGUAAUGUGAAUUGCAGAAUUCAGUGAAUCAUCGAAUCUUUGAACGCACAUUGCGCCCCUUGUUAUUCCGAGGGGCAUGCCUGUUCGAGCGUCAUUAUAACCCCUCAAGCUCAGCUUGGUGUUGGGGCCUGCUGCACUGGCAGCCCUUAAAAUCAGUGGCGGCGCCAUCUGGCUCUAAGCGUAGUAAUUCUUCUCGCUAUGGAGUCCUGGUGGAUGCUUGCCAUCAACCCCCAAUUUUUCUAUGGUUGACCUCGGAUCAGGUAGGGAUACCCGCUGAACUUAAGCAUAUCAAUAAGCGGAGGA